UUACAUAGAGUUGUUUUGCCCUUACUUUAUCUGUUUAUUACUUACCUUUUUUCCUAUACCAUUAAUGAGAAUAACCAGACAGCUCAUGGUCAACUUGUCUGCUUAGCCAUUACAUAUUGUUGUUUCACCCUUACUUUAUCUACUUUUUACUUACCUUUUUUUUAGAAUUCUGUUAAUCCUACAUGCUUUCAACCCUUUUUGGUAAACUGCUCUGCAUCACUUUUGAACUUGUCAUUAUCAUGGUGGGACCUAUUUAAAAUUCUAUUCCUAUACUAUUGUUAUUUUUCUAACAAAAUUUCACAUGGCCUAUCAAUAUUCAUAUACUAUAAAUGAGAAUAACCAGGCAGCUCAUGGUCAACAUGUCUGCCUGGCUAAUAUAUAGAGUUGUUUUGCCCUUACUUUAUCUGCUUAUUACUUACCUUUUUUCUUAAGUUUUCUGUAAAUCCUACAUGCUUUGAAGCCUUUUUGGUAAACUGCUCUGCAUCACUUUUGAACUUGUCAUUAUCAUGGUUGUACCUAUUUAAAAUUCUAUUCCUAUACUAUUGUUAUCUUCCUAACAAAAUUUCACAUGGCCUAUCAAUAUUCCUAUACUAUAAAUGAGAAUAACCAGGCAGCUCAUGGUCAAUAUGUCUGCGUGGCUUUUACAUUGAGUUGUUUCGCCCUUACUUUAUCUGUUUAUCACUUACCUUUUUUCUUUAGUUUUCUGUAUAUCCUACAUGCUUUGAGCCCUUUUUGGUAAACUGCUCUGCAUCACCUUU
rnacentral:lncRNA from 1 species